rnacentral:rRNA from 1 species
UACAGAGGUCUCAAGCGUUGUUCGGAUUCAUUGGGCGUAAAGGGUGUGUAGGUGGCGCGCUAAGUCGGGUGUGAAAUUUCGGAGCUUAACUCCGAAACUGCAUUCGAUACUGCUGUGCUUGAGGACUGGAGAGGAGACUGGAAUUUACGGUGUAGCAGUGAAAUGCGUAGAGAUCGUAAGGAAGACCAGUGGCGAAGGCGGGUCUCUGGACAGUUCCUGACACUGAGGCACGAAAGCUAGGGGAGCAAACAGG